AUUGAACGCUGGCGGCAUGCUUUACACAUGCAAGUCGAACGGUAACAGGCCUUCGGGUGCUGACGAGUGGCGAACGGGUGAGUAAUGCAUCGGAACGUGCCCAAUCGUGGGGAUAACGUAGCGAAAGUUACGCUAAUACCGCAUAAGCCCUGAGGGGGAAAGCAGGGGAUCGCAAGACCUUGCGCGAAUGGAGCGGCCGAUGUCAGAUUAGCUAGUUGGUGGGGUAAAGGCCUACCAAGGCGACGAUCUGUAGCGGGUCUGAGAGGAUGAUCCGCCACACUGGGACUGAGACACGGCCCAGACUCCUACGGGAGGCAGCAGUGGGGAAUUUUGGACAAUGGGCGCAAGCCUGAUCCAGCCAUGCCGCGUGCGGGACGAAGGCC
rnacentral:rRNA from 1 species